UACGUAGGGUGCAAGCGUUGUCCGGAAUUAUUGGGCGUAAAGAGCUUGUAGGUGGCUCGUUGCGUCGGGAGUGAAAACCUGCGGCUUAACCGCAGGCCUGCUUCCGAUACGGGCGAGCUAGAGUUCGGCAGGGGAGACUGGAAUUCCUGGUGUAGCGGUGGAAUGCGCAGAUAUCAGGAGGAACACCGGUGGCGAAGGCGGGUCUCUGGGCAGUAACUGACGCUGAGGAGCGAAAGCGUGGGGAGCGAACAGG
rnacentral:rRNA from 1 species